GGAGAAGUGGCAGAAAUAAAUGCGUUUAGCUUGAAACUAAAAGGAUGAGGGUUUAAGUCCUUUCUUCUCUU
rnacentral:tRNA from 1 species